rnacentral:lncRNA from 1 species
GCUGGGAUUACAGGCGUGAGCCACCGCGCCCGGCCUUCUGAUACAAAUUUUUAAUAUGAAGUGUAUCUUUCAUUAUAAAUUGAUAAAGUAAUGGUAUGGCUUAUAAACCUAUCUCAUGUGAAUUUAGGUUUGAAUAAUCAUAGUAAUAGAUAUUCUUACUAUGUGCAAGACAUUGUUAUAAGCACUUCAAAAAUAUUGUCUACUCCUACCAACAAUCCUACUAAAGUAGGUAAUAGUUGUAACCGUUAAGUUUUUGCCAAGCUAUAUAAAAACUCCCCACAUCUUGGUGGAUAAUAACAAGAAGGGUUAUUUCAGGCCCAAAUUCUAUUUCUGUAUGGAUCAGCAAUGGCUCUGCUCCAUAUUUUCUUCAUAGACAGACCCAGGCUGAGAGAAACUGACAUAAAGGGAUCUCAAUGCUCUUAAAGAUUCUGCAGGAAAGUAGACACAUGGUACUUCUACUCAUAUUUUAUUGACCAAAGCAACUCACUUACAAAGACUUAUGUGUAGUAGGAAAGAGUGUUCCUUACAUGGAGAGGAAUAUAGUAAACCCAUAUCAAUGGGCAAGGAUAUAUAAUACUCCCAAAAAGGGCAGUAAAAUCAUGGGAGCAAUAGUACAAUUUACUACAUAUUCUUAUCUAAAUUUUAGGCAUGAGAAAAUUGAGAAAUAGAGUUUAGGAAGUUUCUUAAAGUCACCUAGUAAACAAUACAGGAUUGAGAUUGAAAUGGAGUGGUCUGUCUCCAUAACUCUGAUACCCAGACUCCAAGAUGGCUCAGUAAAUUCUCACCUUCUAGUAUUCACAGACUUGUAUAUCUUGUGUAUCUCACUCCCAAAUUGGAUAGCUCUGACCUAUGAAACUAAUAAAUAUUGUGACUCCCAAGAGGUUAAGUCAUAAAUGAUAUCAUGACUUCUGUUUUGCUGUCUCUUGAAUCACUCUGGAGGAAGCCAGCUGCCAUAUAUUGAACCCUUGUGUAGCCCUACAAAAGAUGUCAUGUGCCAAGGAACGGAAGUCUUCUGCUAAUAGCCAACAUCAGCUUUCUAGCCAGGUAAGCCAUCUGGGAAUUUUCCAGUCCCAUUCUUCAGCUUAAGUCUGCAGAUGACUAAAGUCCCAGCAAAUAGCUUGCCUCCAAUCUCAUGACAGAUCCCGUGUUGAAACUACAGUUCACUCACCCUCAAAUUCCUGAAUCAUGGAAACCAUGUGACAUAAUGAAUUUUUCCUAUUAUUUUAAGCCACUAAAUUUUGGGACAACUUGUUAUGUAGCAAUAGAGUCUAUACCAGAGUCAAUCUGUUUAAACACUAUGCCAAGCUGCCACUCCAUAUAAAUUAGUGAUCAUGUGUAAACAGAUAAUCCUUACAUUUACAAACCAGCAAAUUCAUUUAAUAUAAGGGGGAUGGAAAGGAAAAAGUAAAGAGAUAUUGAGGAAACAAUAACAGGAAGUAUCAUAGAUAAAGAGAGAAACUGAAAAACUGAAGAUACACAAGAAGGCCAAAUGCAAUGUGUUCAUUAAACCACCUCUUCCAAAGACAGAGGCCAGAACUUUGAAUAAAUAGAUGCUGAAGAGAUUCUUUGAAAAAAUGAUUAUAGGUUCAAUGUUAAAGUGAAUGGAAAGGUUGCCAAUAUCUCCAAAACCAAUGUUUUUCACCCUGCCGCCUAUAACAUAGUAUUUCUUCAGUAUUCUGAUUGCUAUUCAUGAAGACAAUUUAGUUGGUUGUGAUCAGCUUUACUGAAAUUAGAGAGGGGAAGGGAGAAGAGGGGAAAGGUGAGGAAGGGAGGAGAGGAAUGCCCAAACAUGGUCUCCACGUGCAUCUUGGCUUUCACAGACCACAGUGGCCUCAGAAUCAUCAAAUUUCUUAUGAGAUAGUUUAGAGACACAAGCCUGAAGAGUCAACAAAAUUAAAUAGGCCAGGUUAUACAACCAUGAGAAUGUCCAUGAGGAGUAGACUAGAUAAGUAAAUACAUGGAGCCAAAUUUAUAAUAUAGAACAGCAAUGCAAAUCAACAAAAUUGAGCUUUCUGCAUCAAUAUAAUAAAGAGGAAUGGAUCCUAGUGAAGGAAAAAAAGAGCAAGGCACACAAUAAUACACUAUGAUUUCACAUAUAUGAAUUUCAGAAACAGGACAAACUGAAUCAUACUGUUCAUGGAUACAUAUGUACAUAUACCUAUAAAGAAAAAAAACUAGAAAAUGAUUUUAAUAAAAGUUCAGAUAAUGGAGAGAAGGAGAGUACAAAGGGAAUAGUAUCUGGAUGUCCAGGACACUAAGCAGACAUUUUUUAAAAAAUAAACUUUAUCAUAUUUUUAAGAAAAACACAUUGUUUGUUUUUGUUUUUUGUUUCUUUCUUUGAGACAGAGUCUCACAUUGCCACCCAGGCUGGAGUGCAGUGGCAGGAUCUUGGCUCACUGCAGCCUCCACCUCCCAGGUUCAAGAGAUUCUCCCACCUCAGUCUCCUGAGUAGCUGUAAUCCCCACCACCAUGCCCAGCUAAUUUUUUUGUAUUAUUAGUAGAGACAGAGUUUCAC